AGUUCAACGACUGUUGUAAUGAAAGUGAUAUUAAGGACUGUCUGAAAAAAAAGGAUCUUCCUGAUGAAGCAACUAAAAUAAACGAUAAGGAACAAUGCAUGGGUAUGGCGGAUACCUUCAGAAUGAAUGCAAAUGCCAAUAAACAAUAUUGUACAUAAUCGAAUAAACAAUCUCAUGAUUUAUGGCAUACUUCCAUGUAUAUUGAGUUGAAUGAGAUACAGGAUCUUUCCCAAUUAGAAACUUGAAAAUUAAGAAACAUCGUUGUGAAGAAAAUGUUUAAAAUAUAAACGAAAUUGUUACAUUAAUAUGAUUAAAAUGUUUUAUUAUUAUUAACUGUAUGUUGAAUAAU